rnacentral:misc_RNA from 1 species
ACAAAAUUAUAUGUUCAAAUAUGGCCAUGGAAAUGGGCUUUUCAGUAGAAGUCAAAAUGGUGCAAACCAACUUCAUCCCAGCCUAAAAAUAAUAUUAACAAUAGUUUGAAAUUAAUUAUUUUGUGCAGAAUCCUGAAACAAAUGAAAGCAUUUGUCAGAAUUAUGGGUUUCUAGGCAUGUGACUUAGAGACAGCCAUGCUGAAAAAAAUAUAGGAUUUUGGAGAGGAAAGGAAUGCAAGAGCUUAUAGGGCAGGAUUUAUAUCUCUCAUCCCUAAAAGAGAGGUGAUUUGGUGCUUCAAAAUUUUAUUAUGUCUGUGCAUAAUUUUGUGGAUAUGCAAGCUAUCUUAGAAAUCUGGGGUAGGUUUUUGUCACCUGAAAAUGACAUGCAAAAACUUGGCUGCCCAACCUUCAUCUGUUUAAUUUGUAUGGAUUAGAUAGUCUCUGUGAAUUUUGUAGAGAAAAUGGACCAGACUUAACUCCACCCCGAAAUUUAGCUCAAGGGGAGGAGGUUUGC